GUUUGGCACCUCGAUGUCGGCUCAUCACAUCCUGGGGCUGAAGUCGGUCCCAAGGGUAUGGCUGUUCGCCAUUUAAAGUGGUACGCGAGCUGGGUUUAGAACGUCGUGAGACAGUUCGGUCCCUAUCUGCCGUGGGCGUUGGAAGAUUGAAGGGGGCUGCUCCUAGUACGAGAGGACCGGAGUGGACGAACCUCUGGUGUUCGGGUUGUGUCGCCAGACGCAUUGCCCGGUAGCUAAGU
rnacentral:rRNA from 1 species